UUAGGGAAGACAUUCUUCCAAGUAUCAAGAAAGGGAGCCCUUGCUUCCUGGGAAGACAUUUCGUCCCAGCAAUCCCUCUCCAGUUCCAUGUGACCAUUCCUACUCUGAGCCAGUUUUGGAAAGGAAGGGAAGACAUCUUUCAAGUUUCAAGCAAGGGUGCUUUUGCUCCCUGGAAGACGUUUCUUCUCUGCAUCCUUCUUAAGUUACAUGUGACCAUUCCUCUCUCUGAGGCUGUUUUUGUAAGGAUGGUAUGCAGUUGGGUUAGGUUAGGUGAUAUCAAUGUACAGUCAGCCAUUUUCUGUCUAGGCCUUUGUCAAUGAUAACAACCCAAAAUCAUGAACAGAGGUGAUGAUAUAAAAAUCAUGCUCAAUAGGAUUACGCUGAGGCACAAAGAACUGGGUUACAAGCAGUCACUUGACACAUUGGAAACCUCUUUGGUGACUUCAAUGAGGUCCUCAGAUGCCUGUGCCUUCUUUUUCAAGAGAGGAAAUGUGGACAUCUAUGGUGUACAUUGGUUGGCAAAUGCUGCAUGACAACAAGCACCUAGUCCCACAUUCUAACCUUGGGCAUUUCUGAAAGGCCUGCCCAUUGCUCAUGACCCUGUCCUUUCUGGUGUUUUGCAAUCAUCUGACAUGCCACCUUGUAAGGCAGAGAAACACAGAUAUCAGAGGCUCAGUCCAUUAUCAUCAUGCCAAGAAGCAUGGCAGUGUCCUGGUGCAGAAGAAAGAGCCAAGAAUUCUCCAUCUUGAACUGAAGGCACAGACAGGAAGAAUGUCUCUUCCACACUGGGAGGAGCUUGAGCACCAGCAGCCCUCAAAGCCUGCCUACACAAUGAUAUACUUCUUCCAACAAGGUAACACCUAUUCCACCAAUGCUGCAUCCCCUAAUUUUGCCACUUCUAUGGGUCAAGCAUAUUCAAACCACUAUAUGUGUGUAUGUGUAUGUGUGUGCAUGUGUGUGUGUGUAAGUAUAAAAAUAAGAGAUUAAAACACAUGUACAGAAAAAGAUAUCAAUAGAAACUGGAAACAAUUCAGAUGCCCUCAACCAAAGAAUAGAUACAGAAAAUGUGGUACAUUUACACAAAGGAAUACCAUUCGGCUAUUAAAAACUAGGACAUUAUGAAUUUCACAGGCAAAUUGAUGGAAAUAGAAAAUAUCAUCCUGAGUGAGGUAACCCAGACCCAAAAGGACAUCCAUGGUAUGUACUCACUGAUAGGUUAAUAUUAGCCAAUUCGUUCAGAAUAUCCACGAUACAACUCACAGAUCCAAAGAAGUUAAACAAGAAAGAAGGCCCAAGUAUGCUUGAAUCCCCUAAAAAGGUGAAACAAUGCAGUAAGAGAGGUUAGAGGGAAGGAGAAACCUGGCUCAGAGAGGGGAGUGUGAGGGGAGUGAAGGGGGGGGCAGGAUCAGGCAGGAGGACAGACAGGAAAGAAGCCCAGAGGGCCAGGAGAGUCAGUGAAAGUAUGCAGCUGCCAGGUGUUGAGGUUGGAGGAUUGUCUAGGAAGUCCCAGAGACCUGGGAUGAGGGAACUUCCUGGGAAUCAAUGCAGACAACCUUAGCUGAAAUGCCAAAAAAAGGGGAAUAGGAAAGCUGAUGAGACAACAUCCAGUAGCCAAACAGGACUCCCAGUGGACGGAUAGGGACACUAACACACCCACAAAACUUUAGAUCCAAAAUUGGUCCUAUCUAAAAGAAACGCAGGGAAAAAGAUGGAACAGAGACUGAAGUAAUGGCCAACUAGUGACUGACCCAUUUUGAGAUGCAUCCCAUGAGCAGGCACCAAUCCCUCAUGCUAUUAAUGAUGCUAUGCUGUUCUUGCAGACAGAUCUGAGAGGCUUUACCCAUCAGCUGACUGAGACAGAUGCAGAUACCCACAAAAACGGAACAGAGGUUGGAGAACCCUAUGGAUGAUUUAGGGGAAGAAUUGAAGGCCCUCAGUGAGGUGGUAGUCCCAUGGGAAGAUCAACAGUGUCAACUAACCUGGACCUUUGGGAUCUCCCAAAGACAGCACAAAGCUCCCAAAGGCAGCUCCAAUCAAAAAAGCACAUACAGGCUGAUCUGAGGCCCUUGGCACAUAUGCAGCAAAGGGCUACUAUGUCUGGCCUCAGUGGGAGAGAAAAUGUCUAAUCUUGUAGAGACUUGAUGCCCGAGGGUGGGGCCUGAAAAGGGAGGGCUGCUCUCUCAGAGAUGUGGGGGAG
rnacentral:lncRNA from 1 species